GACGAACGCUGGCGGCGUGCUUAACACAUGCAAGUCGAACGCUGAAGCUUGGUGCUUGCACUGGGUGGAUGAGUGGCGAACGGGUGAGUAAUACGUGCGUACCCUGCCCUUGACUCUGGGAUAAGCCUGGGAAACUGGGUCUGAUACUGGAUACGACAUGCCACUGCAUGGUGGUGUGUGGAAGGGGUUUUACUGGUUUUGGAUGGGCUCACGGCCUAUCAGCUUGUUGGUGGGGUAAUGGCCUACCAAGGCGACGACGGGUAGCCGGCCUGAGAGGGUGACCGGCCACACUGGGACUGAGACACGGCCCAGACUCCUACGGGAGGCAGCAGUGGGGAAUAUUGCACAAUGGGCGGAAGCCUGAUGCAGCGACGCCGCGUGAGGGAUGACGGCCUUCGGGUUGUAAACCUCUUUCAGCACGGAAGAAGCGAGAGUGACGGUACGUGCAGAAGAAGCGCCGGCUAACUACGUG
rnacentral:rRNA from 1 species